AGAGUUACCUGUUCCUACUGUCCUCGGACUACGAGAGGUCAGAGUGGAGAGAAGCAAUUCAGAAACUACAGAAGAAGGGUAAAUUCCUGCCUCUUCCACGCUCCCCAAUGAUGUCCGUGGCAUUGAUGGGCCUUUUGUUUUUCUAAGCGUUUCAUGUCCAGUAUCACGUCUUUGGCCCUCGCAGUCACCCUCAGAGGUGCCAGGAUCUCCAGGCCUUUGUCCUGAGCUCAGUGGAGCUCCAGGUGCUCACAGGAUCCUGUUUCAAGCUUAGGACUGUACACAACAUUCCUGUCACCAGCAAUAAAGACGACGAUGAGUCUCCAGGACUCUAUGGCUUCCUUCAUGUCAUCGUCCACUCUGCCAAGGGAUUUAAGCAAUCAGCCAACCUGUACUGUACCCUGGAGGUGGAUUCCUUCGGCUAUUUUGUCAGCAAAGCCAAAACCAGGGUGUUCCGGGACACAGCGGAGCCCAAGUGGGAUGAGGAGUUUGAGAUCGAGCUGGAGGGCUCCCAGUCCCUGAGGAUCCUGUGCUAUGAGAAGUGCUAUGACAAGACCAAGGUCAACAAGGACAACAAUGAGAUCGUGGACAAGAUCAUGGGCAAAGGACAGAUCCAG
rnacentral:misc_RNA from 1 species